rnacentral:rRNA from 1 species
UACGGGGGGUGCGAGCGUUGUCCGGAAUCACUGGGCGUAAAGGGCGCGUAGGUGGUUUGAUAAGGGUGUGGUGAAAGUCCGGGGCUCAACCCCGGAUCUGCCGUGCCGACUGUCAAACUCGAGGACUGUAGAGGCAGACGGAAUUCCGGGUGUAGCGGUGGAAUGCGUAGAGAUCAGGAGGAAGACCGGUGGCGAAGGCGGUCUGCUGGGCAGUUUCUGACACUGGGGCGCGACAGCGUGGGGAGCAAACAGG